UGAGGAAUCUUCCACAAUGGGGGCAACCCUGAUGGAGCAACGCCGCGUGAAGGAUGAAGGUCUUAGGAUUGUAAACUUCUUUUAUAAGUGAAGAAUAUGACUGUAACUUAUGAAUAAGCACCGGCUAACUACGUGCCAGCAGCCGCGGUCAUACGUAGGGUGCAAGCAUUAUCCGGAGUGACUGGGCGUAAAGAGUUGCGUAGGCGGUUUGUUAAGUAGACAGUGAAACCUGGUGGCUCAACCACACAGACUAUUAUCUAAACUGGCAAACUCGAGAAUGGUAGAGGUAACUGGAAUUUCUAGUGUAGGAGUGGAAUCCGUAGAUAUUAGAAGGAACACCAAUGGCGUAGGCAGGUUACUGGACCAUUUCUGACGCUAAGGCACGAAAGCGUGGGGAGCGAACCGG
rnacentral:rRNA from 1 species